AUAUUAUUAAGCGGAGGAAAAGGAACUAACUAGGAUGCCCUCAGUAACGGCGAGUGAAGCGGGCAAAGCUCAACCUGAAAAUCGGGUUUCCAAACGGGAUCUCGAAUUGUGGGCUACAGACGUGUGAUCAGUGUGUGACCCGGGUAUAAGUGUCGUUGGAAAACACUAUCACAGAGGGUGAUAAUCCCGUCCGUGACCCGGAGUUCGCCGCGUACGAUCCGCGCUCGCAGAGUCGCGUUGUUUGGGAUUGUAGCGCUAAAUGGGUGGUAAAUUUCAUCUAAAGCUAAAUAUCGACGAGAGACCGAUAGCGCACAAGUA
rnacentral:rRNA from 1 species